GGGAGUGUAGCUCAGACUGGGAGAGCGCCACGCUGAAGACGUCUACGAUAGAAACGUGGAUGUCCUGGGUUCAAAUCCCGGCACUCCCA
rnacentral:tRNA from 1 species